UGCAAGUCGAACGGCAGCGCGGGGCAACCUGGCGGCGAGUGGCGAACGGGUGAGUAAUAUAUCGGAACGUACCCUGGAGUGGGGGAUAACGUAGCGAAAGUUACGCUAAUACCGCAUACGAUCUAAGGAUGAAAGUGGGGGAUUCGCAAGGACCUCAUGCUCGUGGAGCGGCCGAUAUCUGAUUAGCUAGUUGGUAGGGUAAAAGCCUACCAAGGCAUCGAUCAGUAGCUGGUCUGAGAGGACGACCAGCCACACUGGAACUGAGACACGGUCCAGACUCCUACGGGAGGCAGCAGUGGGGAAUUUUGGACAAUGGGCGAAAGCCUGAUCCAGCAAUGCCGCGUGAGUGAAGAAGGCCUUCGGGUUGUAAAGCUCUUUUGUCAGGGAAGAAACGGUUUUUUCUAAUACAGAAGACUAAUGACGGUACCUGAAGAAUAAGCACCGGCUAACUACGUGCCAGCAGCCGCGGUAAUACGUAGGGUGCAAGCGUUAAUCGGAAUUACUGGGCGUAAAGCGUGCGCAGGCGGUUAUGUAAGACAGAUGUGAAAUGCCCGGGCUUAACCUGGGAACUGCAUUUGUGACUGCAUGGCUAGAAUCUGGCAGAGGGGGGUAGAAUUCCACGUGUAGCAGUGAAAUGCGUAGAUAUGUGGAGGAACACCGAUGGCGAAGGCAGCCCCCUGGGCUAAGAUUGACGCUCAUGCACGAAAGCGUGGGGAGCAAACAGGAUUAGAUACCCUGGUAGUCCACGCCCUAAACGAUGUCUACUAGUUGUCGGGUCUUAAUUGACUUGGUAACGCAGCUAACGCGUGAAGUAGACCGCCUGGGGAGUACGGUCGCAAGAUUAAAACUCAAAGGAACUGACGGGGACCCGCACAAGCGGUGGAUGAUGUGGAUUAAUUCGAUGCAACGCGAAAAACCUUACCUACCCUUGACAUGGAAGGAAUCC
rnacentral:rRNA from 1 species